GCCGCUGGAUCCGUGAGCCGUGUCUUUUGGAUAUGGCAACACGAAUACUGGAAACCCAAGCGGAUGGGAAUUGCCCCGUUGUUCCAGACCAGGGGAUUUUUUUUUUAUUAUCGUACAAAUUGGGCCGAAGGGUCUCAGAUUUUCAU
rfam:Aedes aegypti strain Liverpool supercont1.369 genomic scaffold, whole genome shotgun sequence.